rnacentral:rRNA from 1 species
UACGUAGGGGCCUAGCGUUGUCCGGAAUUAUUGGGCGUAAAGAGCUCGUAGGCGGUUCUGCAAGUCGGAUGUGAAAUCUCCACGCUUAACGUGGAGGGGCCAUUCGAAACUGCUGUGACUCGAGUCCGGUAGGGGAGUGUGGAAUUCCCGGUGUAGCGGUGAAAUGCGCAGAUAUCGGGAGGAACACCAGUAGCGAAGGCGGCACUCUGGGCCGGUACUGACGCUGAGGAGCGAAAGCGUGGGGAGCGAACAGG